GAUGAACGCUGGCGGCGUGCCUAAUACAUGCAAGUCGAGCGAACGGACGAGAAGCUUGCUUCUCUGAUGUUAGCGGCGGACGGGUGAGUAACACGUGGAUAACCUGCCUAUAAGACUGGGAUAACUUCGGGAAACCGUAGCUAAUACCGGAUAAUAUUUUGAACCGCAUGGUUCAACAGUGAAAGACGGUCUUGCUGUCACUUAUAGAUGGAUCCGCGCUGCAUUAGCUAGUUGGUAAGGUAACGGCUUACCAAGGCAACGAUGCAUAGCCGACCUGAGAGGGUGAUCGGCCACACUGGAACUGAGACACGGUCCAGACUCCUACGGGAGGCAGCAGUAGGGAAUCUUCCGCAAUGGGCGAAAGCCUGACGGAGCAACGCCGCGUGAGUGAUGAAGGUCUUCGGAUCGUAAAACUCUGUUAUUAGGGAAGAACAUAUGUGUAAGUAACUGUGCACAUCUUGACUGUACCUAAUCAGAAAGCCACGGCUAACUACGUG
rnacentral:rRNA from 1 species